GUGCUCACUUCGGCAGCACAUAUACUAAAUUUGGAACGAUAGAGAGGAUAUCAUGGCCCCUGCACAAGGAUGACAUGCAAGUUCAUGAAGCAUUCUGUAUUUUU